CAACUGAAAAAAGUUCCUGCAGUACGAUCGAGACCGCUGACACUGCCAUCAAUUUGAACACAAUUCGAAUAAAGCAAACAGGUUGAAGUACAAGGCUUAAAAAGAUGGCUUAUCUAAAAGCAUGGCGAAAAAGGAAGGCAGAAAUGGAUCUGUUACUGCAUUCUGACACUGAUGAUGACCAUGAAAGUCAGAGAUCAGUGACCGAUAGAUCAGCCUGUGGAUUACAUAACAACCAGGCAGACACUACAAGCAGUUUUGAAAGUAUUAAUUCGGCAACUGACAGUUUGACAACAUAUGAAUCAGACUUUGACACUGAUGUGGAGUAUGUGUCUUCUGACUCAGAAAAAGAAGUUCUAAAUGAUGAUGCUGAAUUG